CCUACGGGAGGCAGCAGUGAGGAAUAUUGGUCAAUGGGCGCGAGCCUGAACCAGCCAAGUAGCGUGAAGGAUGACUGCCCUACGGGUUGUAAACUUCUUUUAUAAAGGAAUAAAGUGAGGCACGUGUGCCUUUAUGUAUGUACUUUAUGAAUAAGGAUCGGCUAACUCCGUGCCAGCAGCCGCGGUAAUACGGAGGAUCCGAGCGUUAUCCGGAAUUAUUGGGUGUAAUGGGAGCGUAGAUGGGUUGUUAAGUCAGUUGUGAAAGUUUGCGGCUCAACCGUAAAAUUGCAAUUGAUACUGGCAGCCUUGAGUACAGUUGAGGUAGGCGGAAUUCGUGGUGUAGCGGUGAAAUGCUUAGAUAUCACGAAGAACCCCGAUUGCGAAGGCAGCUUACUAAACUGUGACUGACAUUGAUGCUCGAAAGUGUGGGUAGCAAACAGGAUUAGAUACCCUAGUAGUC
rnacentral:rRNA from 1 species